AUUGAACGCUGGCGGCAUGCUUUACACAUGCAAGUCGAACGGUAGAGGGGGCAACCCCUUGAGAGUGGCGAACGGGUGAGUAAUGCAUCGGAACGUGCCCAGUCGUGGGGGAUAGCCCGGGGAAACCCGGAUUAAUACCGCAUACGACCUGAGGGUGAAAGCGGGGGACCGAAAGGCCUCGCGCGAUUGGAGCGGCCGAUGUCGGAUUAGGUAGUUGGUGGGGUAAAGGCCUACCAAGCCUGCGAUCCGUAGCUGGUCUGAGAGGACGACCAGCCACACCGGGACUGAGACACGGCCCAGAAUCCUACGGGAGGCAGCAGUGGGGAAUUUUGGACAAUGGGCGCAAGCCUGAUCCAGCCAUGCCGCGUGCGGGAAGAAGGCCUUCGGGUUGUAAACCGCUUUUGUCAGGGAAGAAAUCCUUUGGACUAAUACUCUGGGGGGAUGACGGUACCUGAAGAAUAAGCACCGGCUAACUACGUGCCAGCAGCCGCGGUAA
rnacentral:rRNA from 1 species